AGCUGGUUAGCUCAGUUGGUUAGAGCGUAGGGCUAAUAACGCCAAGCUCGCGGGCUCGAUUCCCGUAUGGGCUA